rnacentral:rRNA from 1 species
CUUUCCCGCUGGCUGCAGGCCUAACACAUGCAAGUCGAGCGAGCGGCGGACGGGUGAGUAAUGUAUGGGGACUGCCCGAUAGAGGGGGAUAACUACUGGAAACGGUGGCUAAUACCGCAUACUAUCGGAUAACCCAUAUGGGAUUAGCUAGUAGGUGGUGUAAAUGCUCACCUAGGCGACGAUCUCUAGCUGGUCGGAGAGGAUGAUCAGCCACAGUGGGAAUGAGACACUGCCCAGACUCCUACGGAGGCAGCAGUGGGGAAUAUUGCACAAUGGGCGCAAGCCUGAUGCAGCCAUGCCGCGUGUAUGAAGAAGGCCUUAGGGUUGUAAAGUACUUUCAGCGGGGAGGCGUUACCCGCAGAAGAAGCACCGGCUAACUCCGUGCCAGCAGCCGCGGUAAUAC